rnacentral:rRNA from 1 species
AUGUCAGAUGACUAUCGUCGAACACGCACGUCCCCGAACGAGGUGGAGCAGUUGGUGUUGCUUGACAUUAGGGGUAUGUUGCAGUCCAUGGGUAAAGACAUUGUUGAUUUUGCCCUUCCAAGCAUCGAUGAUGCCUUUGACCCAACCGAGGGCGAGUGUCGAGAGGUCAAAGAGGAAUCAACCGUUCAGUUUGACAUGGAUGACACUAAAUUGGCAGCUUCCUUGAACUUGGAAUAGAGGGCCGCAUACGAUGAGAUACUAGAGGUUAUUGAACGCGGUGAUGGGGGUGUAUUCUUUGUUGAUGGCCCUGGAGGUACAGAGAAGACCUUCCUUUAUAGGGCGAUGCUUGCCACGGUGAGGAGCCAGGGCAAGAUUGGUAUCGCUACUGCGACGUCCGGCGUCGCUGCUUCUAUCAUGCCUGGCGGCAGGACUGCCCACUCGCGGUUCAAGAUCCCAUUGAGUUGCGAUGAUGGGGCCUCGUGCAGCUUCACCAAGUAG